rnacentral:rRNA from 1 species
GACAGAGGUGCCGAGCGUUAGGCGGAAUCACUGGGCUUAAAGGGCGCGUAGGCGGGUCGGUAAGUCAGGGGUGAAAUCCCACGGCCCAACCGUGGAAGUGCCUCUGAUACUGCCGGCCUCGAGGGGGAUAGGGGCGUGCGGAACUCAGGGUGGAGCGGUGAAAUGCGUAGAUAUCCUGAGGAACACCGGUGGCGAAAGCGGCGCGCUGGAUCCCUUCUGACGCUGAGGCGCGAAAGCCAGGGGAGCAAACGGG